GUGCUCGCUCUGGCAGCACCUAUACUAAAAUUGGAAUGGUACAGAGAAAAUUAGCAUGACCACUGCACAUGAAUGACACUCAAAUUUUUUUUAAACAAAAUUCACAUUU